CUCACCAUUUAAAAUUUUAAAGUCAUAAAGAUAGGGUAGGAAUCGCAGGUAAUGAGCGGCUUGCUGGUGUUGUACUAUUUGCAAGGGAAAGACUUCUACAGAGGUUGACAGGUGUAUCUAUAUCUGGAAAUAGUGAUUUUCCUUUUAGGUGGAGAACAGUGAGCCAAGAGACGAAAUACCUUACACUGAUGAGCCCAAAACUGAUUUCUAGAAUUUUAUAAGAAUGGGGAGGGAUGGGGUGCUGGAAAUGUUUUAUAUGACCAUCGUCCUCUUCAGUUGAAUGAAGAUGACCAUCAAUAUGUAUGCCAAAUUUUCAAGA